rnacentral:lncRNA from 1 species
GUUUUGUUGCCUUGUCUGGAAAUGAAACUAGUGGCCCUAAAAAGUUGAUGUGCUGGUGGACAUUAGGGAUAGCCUUUCUUUUUUUGAUAAGUAAGCAAAGAGAAUAUAUUAUUUAUAAUUAAUAGAUGCACAGUGGACAACUUAGAUAGCUUCUCUAGAACUAUUUUUGAGUUGGCUGCAAGAAACCUUUUCUGUUGCUUACUUUUUAUUGAGGAGAAAUCUACUACUAUAACAUCAUUACUGAAAAUUCUAGAUCUACCUAUCCUACAAGAUGUGUUUUCUUUUGUGCUUAAUUUAAUUGGGUAUUUUUUAUUAGGGAUGUGAGCCCUAACCAAUUAUAUGAAGACUGGUGGGAAAUUAUGGGUAGCAGUUGCCAUUUAGAUUGAGUGGCCUGUAGACCAUUUAAGUGAUGUAUAGUGAUGAUCUUUAUCUUUAUCCACAUUACUAGGUUGCACUUCUUUAGUUCUUUUUCUCUUUUAAAUAUAUUCCUUUAUACCAAUUUUUCACUGGUAUUUCUUCUUUCAGUUUCCUCAUAUUGCUUUUCCUCCUCCCCACGCUAAACAAUCUCGACAAUAUAAGUUUUUGUGGAUAAGCCAUAAGAUUUAUUCUGUCAUUUUUCAACUUUAUUGGUUCUUUCCAGCCUUCUGUUGGUAUCAUAGAAUGGGUAAGAAAGAGUAAGUAAAGGAUGUGUCUCUAUGUUAUAUUUUUGCUGUCGGCUUUGCUUGGCCUUUAUGCUCUGGCAGCUGGAUUACCUUUUUGGUACCUAAUCCCUGGAUGUUUCCUAAGCAGUUAUUGCGACCAUACAUGGCAAUACCUGCAAACCUUAUUUUACAAGUCUACUGAUUAUUACUGCUUUCUCCUUAUUCUGAUUAGUAUUUCAGUAUUUAUGUUGAAAGAAUAAAAAAGUGCCGGACCUUUUUUACUGGGAAUUUGUUGCUAUACCUAUCCCUACCCUUUUUUAUAAGUAAAUUUUAAACUAUUUUUUUCCUUUUUCUUUUCUAUAAUUUAUUUGUGUAUAUGUUUAUUUUCAUGGAUAAACAUUAUGUGCUUAUUACUAUAAAUUUUUUAAAUGUCUAAGCUUCACUUUUGGUACUACCUGGGCUCCUAUUCUGUGUGUUCUUUCCCUUCCCCUCUUAACUAAGAUAAUACUUUGGAAAAUGUACACUUGUUCAAUUCAUUUGGAACUAAAUGAAAAUGAACAUUAUAUUUGAUAUAAUCUCUCGUACGAUAUGUACUUGUAUUUUGUAAAUUGUACUUAACGGCUCAUAAAUCAUGAUACUAUUGCAUCUAUAGCCAUGUUGCAAAAUGUGCUAUAAGUUUGUUAACCUUAGGCAAUCAACAUUUACUUAUAGAGCUUAAAACACAAAGUGGACUAUGAAGGAUUGAAGUCCAAUAGGCUAACACAUAAUAUGGCAUUAUGUAUUGCAAAAUUUGAAUAGCCAGGAGCACGUUAUGCCAAAAAACCCAAAAGAACAGUAAGCACUAAAUUCGUACUGUACUUACAAGUAUAUCAUUUGUUUUAUUUGUUGUAGCCAGUGCAUCUCUCAAACUUACCUUGACAAUCUUCAUCUUUAUUCUUUUGGUUUUCAAUGUCAGUUAUGUUCUUACCAUUAUUAUCUGCUCCUACCACCAGUGCCUCGUGGUCAUGAGGGCCUUUUUGUUUUUGUUUGUUUGUUUUAAGGAAAAGAAAAGAAAAGAAAAACAAAAAAAAAGCAACUACUGAACUUCUAAAGCCUGUAUGUAUUGAGAAGUUUUCUUCUUCCACUUUUUUUUUUCUUCUCAUUUUGUUCCUUUGUUUUUUUCUUUUCUCUCUCUUUGUUUUUUUCUUUUUUUGUCAUUUUUUGGUUAACAGGUUAAAUGUCAUUUUCUUUGUUCAUACUAGCAUGCUGAAUAUGGAAGUCAUAUUUGCCCUCCACAUAUUCGCAUCCCUCAAAACAAUCUUAAGUUAUAUAUCAUUAUAUUAUAUUCAGCAUAGUGUAGCUUCACAUUUUUAUUUCACAUGUGUCAUGCAUGUGUUUACCAAGUCUGACCUCCAGCUAUGGUUUUUGGGUACGGGACUGUCUGUCUUUGGGAUGUUGAGAUUUGAGUCCUGAAGGGUUGCAACAUAUUAAGCACCUCAUCAUAUGCGGCAUCAUCAGCAUCAUUUUAUUUAACCUGAAGCUCUUAUUAUUUCUGAGUGGUAUCCUUUUGGAUUUUCAAAGAAAAUCCCUAUUAAUCCUCCUCGCUUGGAAGGAUGCUUGUAUGAAAAGCUAGGGUUGGUUUGAGUGGAUUCCUUCCAUGCUUCUCAAGCAAAUAUUCAGAAAACCACCUACAUUGACACUGAGAACUUUCUGAUGCAUGUUACCAAUGCAAUCUUUUAGUAUCCUAAAAGAGUAACUUACAGGAGUAUAAUGGUGCUUACAACUUAGAGCAUUGAUUUUAUGCCUGCUUAUGGCUUCUGGUGGUCUUUGGUGGCAUGCUAUUCUAUAGUGGGGAUUACGUACAUGAAUGUCUUUUAGCUUGAAAGCAUGCAUAUCAGCAAAGUCUCUGCAGAUUGAACUGUUGGGUGGACGAUACUGGCAUUUGCCUUUCAAGAAGUGUUUGCUUGCAAUGAAUUCCUCUUUCCUAGUUGCUUUAUCUUUUGAAUUGCAUGUGUUUCUGGAGUUGGGAAUACCCUGCAGCAGAACUGGGCCUGGGAGUUGAUGUGUUCUCUAGAUGGGUAUAAGAUGUUUGCUAGUAUUUUGGUACUGUUAUCAGCAAUAUCUGCAGACGAAUCUUGGAAAAUAUUCCACCUGGGUUGCUGCAUUUUUAGUUGGUAAGAAGAAAAAAAUGCUUUGCUUGCUUUCUUUACUUGAAACCAAUGUUUGAUAUGUUGUCUUAGCUUUUUGGUUUUAUGCUCUAUACCUAUGUUUAGUAUUUGAAAGCUGAUGUGAUUUGUGUUGGCAUUAUGCUAAGUUCUACAAGACAUUGCCUGUUCAUUUUAGUGUUGCCCGAGAUGGUUGGUUUGUUAACUAUCCAUGGAUUUCUCCAACUCUGAAUAAUAGGUUUAUUUAUUUUCAUAUGGCCUUCUAAAGUCAAACCAAUGUUUUGCAGGCUGCGAAGCUCUCUGUGGCUUCAGUUCAAACCACAUCAUAUUGCUGCGGGGGCAGCCUACCUUGCUGCCAAGAUCCUAAAUUUGGAUGUUGCUUCUUACCAGUAUAUCUGGCAGGAGUUCCAAACAACGCCAGCUAUUCUUCAAGGUAGUUGGCACUAUUUUGAAUAUCAUGUGAAUGUUCAAGAUUUUACGUUAAUUUUAUAUUUGCCAAUAGUCUUGGUUCUUAGUAUUUUAUUAUGAACCUCAUUGCAUUGCUCCCACCUUUUUAACAGUCUGUUGAUCCUUUGAUGCAGAUGUUGCGCAGCAGUUGAUGGAGCUAUUUUAGUUUCUACGCAGAUUCAGUUCACCAGUUGAUUGAGCUCUUUUAAAAGAUUACACAGUAGACUAGGCUUCAGGAAUGAAUGUUUCAUGUUAGAUAUGGGUAUUAUAUUCAUUGUUUUUUAAUGCCGUGUUUGUAACCAAUGAUUGGAAAAUCAUCAGUGUUGUCCAGGUUAUAACAUGAGAGAAGCGCUAUUCAUGAGAGAGAGAGAGUAGUAGAUUAGAUAUCUUUGUUUCAGCACUUCCUCUAGAAGUACAGGUCCAAAGAGUGUAAUUCGAAUAGACAGGCAUGAACUUUCUGUUGAGUGGUCAUCUAAUGGAAUAACAAAACUCUUCUGUUUCUCAUGGCCGUCUGUUUUUUCUACUGCUCAUCCUUUCUUGUUCUAAAUAAGAUCACGGGUCUAAGGUGUCUAUUUGCUUUUGAGUAUGUGAUUCUGAGGAAGGUUAGAAGUGCUUUUAAAUGUUUUGAAGUCCUUUUUUUUUCAACAAAAAUCUGGAGUAGUACCUGCUUAUGUGCUUUUUUUAGAAGUUACUUUUCUAGUAUUACUAAUAAAAGCAAUACUGAAAUCUCUAUUGAAGCAUUACUAAUAGAUGUAAUAGUACUGGCUUCGGAGGUUGAAUCUCGUGGGUGGGUGGGUGGGUGGGUGGGUGGGGUGCGGUGUGGUGAGGAGAGAGGGAUUCAAUUGUUGUACAAUACUUUGAGCCGAAGCUUAUAGAGAAAAUGCUAGUUUNNNNNNNNNNNNNNNNNNNNNNNNNNNNNNNNNNNNNNNNNNNNNNNNNNNNNNNNNNNNNNNNNNNNNNNNNNNNNNNNNNNNNNNNNNNNNNNNNNNNGGGGGGGGGGGGGGGGGGGUUGGGGGGGUGAGUGGGGUUUGAAAAUCUUUAUGCAUGAUCUGUUUUUCAAUUACACAUUUCUUUUUUUAUUUUUGUUAGCUUUUAUGAGUUUUUUCAUUUGAAAAAUAAGGGUAUGUUUGGUAACUGAUUUUUGGAAUAGUUUUUUAGUUUUUAUAACAGAAAAACAAGAAAACCCAUUUGAUAAUCAUAAAUUGUUUUUUAUUCUCAAGAAUAGGAAAUAUGAUAUUUUUAUAUAUGCAUUUUUAAUUGUUUAAUAUUAUUUAUAAAUUUACCCUUAUUUAUUUGGUUACGUGUAUAAUAUUUUCAUCCAUCAAAACUAAUAUCGGCCUAUAAAAAUGGCACAAUGUUGAUAUUUAAGAAAAUUGUUUGAUUUUAAACCCCAAUUCUUUUUGGCACACCCUAAAAUGAAAGUGUAUAAUUUUACUGUUUUCGGCUCUAUUUCCUUUUAUAAGAAGUUUUGGAAAGGAAAAUGGACAGAAUCCGCCCAUGGUGCUUUUAUUGCUUUAAAAAAAUAUAUGAAAAUAUUGUUUCUUUAAAAGGGAUGCCAUUGGUUAUGACCAUUUUCUAUUCAUAGAAAAUACAAGUGUUGACAAUCAGCCUGACAAAUAUUGAAUAUGAGGUUAAUUUCAGAAAAUUGUUUAACCUAUAUAUUUAAAAUAUCCCAAAAAAUAAAUUUUAUAAAUAUAAUAAAUUUAUAUAAAUUCUAAUAGAUGAAAUUCAAAAUUAAUAAUAAUUAGAUGUAUUCACGUUCGAGUUUGAAUAAAAUUAAUCUUAAAAUUAAAAUUUUUCUUGGGUAGGUAUAAAAAGGGUAUCAUGGUAUCGUGUUGGGAUUGGUUUUUUUGUUUCUAGGUCAUCUCGAAAGGGAGAAAGAAAGAAGUAAACAAGCCUUCCUAUUGUGGGAUGGUCAAAGAACGUGGCGCUGUCAAAGAGCACUACAGCAUCCCAUCGGUAGCUCCAGAAUUCAAACAGAGUUUUUGUCAUAAUAAUAAUGUAAUUAAUGGUUUUAAUGAUAAAGAUAACUACAUAUCCAAAUCACUGAAAACGCCAAAUAAGGAGACGCCUAUCUCAACCAUAUAUGCCAUGAUCUUCCUUGGCUAGCGUGCCAAUCCAUUUCCUUCUCUCUCUAAAUUUCCCGAGACACAAACAGAGGCGUGUGCGCCUUGCUUCACUUCACUACCAACCAAGAGAUCGUCUUUCCCGGAUAAUUCCAUGGAGUCUGCACCACAACGUCGCCUGACGGCUAUACAGACACAACUCAUCGCCACCGCCGGCGACGACCGCUCGCAUUCACAGCUCCUUACCAAUCAAACCGCCGGCGAGUUCGUUUCCGGUAAUAUCCCGGUUUCUCCAUUUAGAUUUCUCUUUCUGUGUCUCGAGUUGUUGCUUCUAUAUGUGAAGGUCCGCUUUAUAUGCCAUGUUUGGUGAAUAGUACGUUAUGUUGUCUCCAGUGAUGCUAUUGGUUUGGUAUAAUGCUAGGGUUUUAGGGGUGGGUCAAUCCUGAUCUCAUUGGUUGGGUCGUGCGUAUGAAAAACUAGUACUGUAGAUAUUGGUAAUCAUUGGUUGGGCUAUGGCGACUAUUUUAGAGUUUUUGGGAACCGAUUGAACCAAGAUUGAUGUUAUUGGGGGGAGGGCAGGACGAAUGCGUGGCUGGAAGAGAAAAAGUUAGGGGCAAUAAUAGAUGGAGCACUUCACUUUUCCCUGAUAGGCUAAGGGGCAACUUUGCCUUUAUGGUGGGAUGUUCUUAUGUCUUAUAUUUUGUUCAGGGAGGUAAAAUGCGGGGUUUUCGUAGUGUACUCAUCUUUUGUAACUCGAUUAGGGCUUAUUUGACAUAUUUGACUAUUACAGGAUUGGACUCCAUCUUUACCUUUCUUUGGGUAAUCCUCCACCAUAGGAAAAGUAACUUCUUAGGAACGGUACACUCUAAAGCAGGAGAGUUUGUUUAUUGGUUCACUCUCUCUUGUGUACGGUAGAGAUGAUGACAACUGAGGGGGACAAAUGUAAAAUAUAUGACAAGAACAUGUUGUGUUAGAGGGAUUAAUAUAAUUCGUAAGGAGUCUAAUGUGAAAUUUGCAAUAUUAAGAGGUUUUGGUGGUUGAUUCUCCAUAGCUUUUAGUUAGGUAUUACAAGGACCUAUAGAAAUCUGUUACCACAUGAAUUUUAUCUCGAGGGUUAAGUCUUCAUUAUAGUGUAGUCUGUUACCAUUUAUUGUUUUCUUGUUAGUAGAUGGUCGAGUUGGAAGGCAGGGUUCUCAAUGAAAAAGAAAUGGAUACCUUUACUCUUAGACAUAUCUUAUCUUUUUUUUCAUUGUAAUGUUUUAGAUUGGAACAGACCAUUCCUUGUGCAAUGACAACAAUAAUGCCUUGGGCUGGCAGUCAUCAAUAGGGGGGCUUUGAGUCUCAAAAAUGGCCUCCUUGUGCAACACUGCUAGAGUUGGGAUCAUAUCCAACUCGCCUUUCCCAAUCACCACUUAAUGGCCCUUUAUGUUUUAGAUUAGAUGUUAUAUGUUCAUAAUGAUGGUAAACAACCAUUUCCUCAAUAUGUUUGGGCAUAACUUAGGGUACUUCUUCUGGAUCUGUGGUUCAUGAAGUUAAGUGGAGAUCUACCAGUGAGAAAUGAUGUGUUGGGGAAGUUGCAGAUACUGGUAGAUCCUUUAAUAUGAUCAUACAAAUGGACUUUAGUGAACGUUUCAGGGAAUUGGGUCUUACAGGGAUACAUGAGGGUGAAUAAGUCUUGUACUGGUCACUGUUACAGGGGAGUGGCAGUUUUUCUUCAUAUUCCUCAGCACAUUGCAUGGGAAUGGGAAAGAGUGAAAUCGGGAACUUAGGAUAAAUUGUCUGCAUUUGAUUAACUUCUUUUUCUGACAUCCUUCAUUCUUUAUUUUUAAUUUUUAAUAACUUUAGAUUGACUUCUUUAUCUGGGUCCAUUUGGGAGUUAUUCUUCAAGGGUUAGAAGCGCUCCCUAAUGUUUGGAAGCAUUUUCUUUACAAAAAUUAUGUGUUUGGCAAAAAUUUAAUUCAAUUUUUUUUUAUGUGUAAAAUGAGAGUAUUGUAUAAAAAGAGUGUGAAAAUGAGUGCAGCGAAGUACAUUAGACAUAUAUAAUGAUCAUCAAAAAGCGUAAACAAAAAGUAAAAGGGACAAUAAAAACUACUUCCUCACUUAAUAAAAAUCCAACCAAUCAACAAAGUCAAUUAAGAACAUUGGGCCUUCAUCUAUAGACAACUUGGUCCAAGAUAGCAAAUUACAAAAAAAAAAAAAAAAAGCUUUUUAGCCUUUGGUAAGAAAGUUCUCUGUUUUUAAACAAUCUUCUAUUCGUCUCCUUUUAAUUUUUCUAAAAAAGGCACAAAUGAGUUGCUUCCCACACUUUUUUUAGUUUCUUCACAACAAAGGAACCAUACCAUCUUAAGAAGGCCUUUCUAAUGAAGGAAGAUAACACCUAAGACACGUCAAAAAGAGAAAAUAAUAGCUGCCGCAAAACCUUCGUCUUGCCACAAUGAAGAAGGAUGUGAUCAAUUGAUUCCUCAUAGAUAUCGCAAAGGAAACAUUUAUUAGCCAAUGUCCAACCUCUUCUUUGAAGUUCAUCCAAGGUCAAAAUUUUUUCCACAAAGACAAAGAAAAUAAGGAAGCUAGAUAAAGUGCUCUGGAUUAGAGUGAGUCUUAUCUUUUGCAAAUAUAUUGCCUUUUCCACAUUGCCAAUCUUUUACAAACCUCAAUUCCUCCUUAUUCCAAAUUGCAAGUAUUAUAAGGGCACCUAAGGAAAGAAGAGGUUGGACAUUGACUAAUAGAGGUUGGACAUAGGCCGCGAGUAUUAGCUAAUGACCUUCUUCCAUUUGCAUUAGCCGUUUUGAGAAAGAAAUUAGUAUUUCUAUCGCCUUCCUUUAACCAUGCCUCCCUUGAUUUCUACCUCUAAGAAGUUUCUUGCAUAAGAGCCCAUUUACGAUACUCCGCCCUUGCUUCCAACCUCGCAUCCACCUCUUCUUGAGAUAAAGCACUUGUUCUCCCCUUAGAAUCCUAGAAACCCACUUAGGGAAGAACCAAUUCCUUUCUAACUAUAACAUUACCAAAAUCCUCUUUGUUGCAACUUUUCAAAUUAGACUUUAAAGCGUUCAAUUUCAUUGCCAAGAUGAAACUAUAAGGUCCCCCUUAAAGCUGAACCCCAACCACCAUCUCUUUAGAAUAUCUUUGAAAGCCCUUUUCCUUAAGCCACAUAUUUUGAAUCUAAAUGGAGCAAAACUUCUCCUCAACUCUAUCUCCAUCUAACAAAAUGGGGCGAAUGAUCCAAUACAGGUUUGGGUAAGAUNNNNNNNNNNNNNNNNNNNNNNNNNNNNNNNNNNNNNNNNNNNNNNNNNNNNNNNNNNNNNNNNNNNNNNNNNNNNNNNNNNNNNNNNNNNNNNNNNNNNCCCCCACCCCCCUUUUUUUAGAAUUUUUUUGAAACCCCUUUUUCUUUACCCCAAUUUUUGGAAUUUAAAAGGGACAAAAUUUUCUCUUAAUUUUUUUCCCCUUUAAAAAAAAGGGGGGAAAGGUCCCAACCCGGUUUGGGUAAAAAUAUUUCCCCCCCCCCCAUAAAAAGACCUUCCCCCCUUUUUAACCCCAAAAAGGGGUUUUAUUUUUUUUGGGGUUUAUUUUUUAAACCACACAACCCCCCCCCCCCCCCCCCGGCAACACACACCCCCCAAAUAAAAGGGCCUUGAAGACAACCUACUGACUUUAUUGCUCUUCCUUGGAAAUUUGACAAUCUUAAAAUCUUUUGCAAUGCACCAAUGGUCAUUCUACAAUUCCCUAAUCAACCCAAACUUAGCCCCGAAGGCCGCUUUAUCCUUCCUUAGAGAUGGACCAUACAUCCUUGUGAAAAUCCAAAAAACAGUCAUCACAAUUUUUAAAAUGACCCGAUAUCGAGCACUCACCAUCUUCCAUGCAAACCAUUUGUAACACCCUAUUGUCCCAAAAACCAAGACCCUGCUUGUAGCACCCAUUGAGUUCACUACACCCUAAUCCAAGAAUCUUCCCAUUCCUGAGCUUUGCACCAAGCUAGUUGACGUAUUUUGGAUUGUUUCCUAUAAACAGACCAAGUAUGCUCUCUGCAAUUUAGUCAAAGACUUUAUAAUCAUCCUUUUAGCAUUGUCAUUAGCCUAUUUCACAUUCCAAUAUAAAAUUUUUAAUUUCAUUUGUGACUUGAUGAGAUAACCCAAUCUUCUCUACUCAAUCAUUCCUUUGUUCCUGCUCCAUUCUAGUUCAUUAAACACUCUAGCUUCUUAAGCUCUCUUUCAAAUCUUGAAAAUACAAAUUUAUUUCUUCUUCUAUGAUACACUCAAUACCCUUAUAAAUGUAUUGUAUGUCCCCGAUAUGAAUAAAAAUUUGGUUAGUGGGGAUUUGCUUGGCAAACCGGGUAUCAAAGUGGCGUUUGAAUCCGGUAAGCUAAUUUUAUCCAAAUCGGGGAACUUUGUGGGAAAGGGGUAUUCUUGUGAUGGGAUGAUCAAACUUUGUACCAAUGACAAUAUCAAUAAAAUGACGUCUACUUCCGCUUAUAUGUGUGAUUCAAAUUCUUUAUUUUUGUGGCAUAAUAGGCUUGCACAUGUUGGUUUAAGCACUAUUAAAAGGAUUGUGAAAUGUGGUUUGAUUGCUUGUGAUACCAAGAAAUUUGAAAAGUGUGAAAUAUGUGUUAAAUCAAAGAUGAUUAAAAAGCCUUUUCAUAGUGUUGAGAGAUCAUCUAAUUUGUUUGAUUUAAUACAUAGUGAUCUUUGUGAACUUAAUGGCAUGUUAACAAGAGGUAGAGUUCUUUGAGAAUUUGUUGAGUGAUAGCAAUUCUCAAGUACCUACUAGUGUUGGAGAGUCUCUAGAGGAGACACCUUCAAAGGUUGUUGAGCAACCCAUUGUGCCUUGGAAAAGCCAAAGAGCUAGAAAAGAGAAAGUGUUGGGAUCGGAUGAGAUUGACUCUCAAAGCAAACCUAAUCCAAGAAGAAAAACCUUUGCUUCUCUUCAAGAUUUUUCCUAUCAGCUUCCUUCAAUCUCCUCUAUUGAGAUUUCAAAGGACUUGGAUUCCAUUGCAAACCAACUCCUACCUCCUCCCAUCAAAUUUUAAAAUUACUUCUAAAAAUCUAGAGAAUCACUUGAAAUAAUAUUUGAAUUAGCAUAAUGUAAGUGCUUCUUCCAAAAUCACUUUUUUUGUUAUGUAUUCCACUACCAGAAACACUUUGAAAACACUUUUUGGUUUAUAUCCAAACCUUAACUAAUUUUCUAUAGAAGUGUUUUUGAUAGAAAUGUUACCUGUAGAAGUGUUGUCUACCAACAUAAGUGUUAAGGCUAAAAGCGCUUUUAUGAGAAUCAGUGCCAAAAAAGCCUUGAUGUUAUUUAACAGUUCACUUUUCAUAGGCUUAUGGUUAUGUAAGUCAAGCAGUUUAGCAGUUGGAGUGCUUUAUGGGAAAUGAUAUAAACAGCAUGGAGUGUAUAUUUUGUUCAUUGUUUCCUUAGUCAGUGGUCUAGCCUGCUUUAGAUUCAUGAAGGGGCUUAAUUAUGAACGUUAUGAAGUGAUUUUGUUGUUAAUUACUUUUCAAUUUUUGCUGCUAUACCUGAGAAGUUAUCAGAGAUUUUUUCUGUUUCUGGGUGAGAAUCUUUUUUACAGUAAUGCACUGUUUGCCUCUAUUGAUUAAUCAAUCCAUUUUAGUCCUGGCAGCUUUUUAGCUUUCCACUUUUUGUAUGCCAUUUGUUUCUCUUCAUGUUUAUGUUAUAUGUUCAUGCAUUAAUUUGCUGAAUUUGUGGCAUUAAUUCUGAGCAGAGCAGGGCUAUAGUGUGGUGCUUCCAGAGAAAUUGGAGACAGGAAAGUGGAAUGUCUACAGGUAGGAAUUUUCCUCUUUUGUUUUGUUUUGUGUUUUUUUCCCCCACUUGGUCAUUCAUUCUCAACUUGUUAAGAUUUCAUUUUCCUUGGCAGAUCUGCACAGUCUCCUUUGAGGCUUGUGAGUAGAUUCCCUGAUCAUCCUGAAAUUGGUACAUUGCAUGAUAAUUUUGUGUGAGUAUCGCUCUGUUUAUUUGGCUAAAUUACAACUGAGUUUUGUUACAAUUGUCAAUGCUAGUUUUUAUAUUUGACUGCCCAUGUAUUUUUUGCAUUUAGAAAAUUAUCUAAAUUAUUUCUUCCAACAUUUUGAGGAUAGGCACUCAGUUGAGACCUUCCGUGAUUACAAGUAUUUGGGUACACGAAUUCGAGUUGAUGGAACAGUUGGAGAGUAAGUUGCUCAUCUGAAUAACUUUGCUAUUUCAUCAUUGAAGUUCCCUUAUUCAUUUGCAUUCAUUGCCUACACUUUCAAGGUACAAAUGGAUGACAUAUGGAGAAGCAGGUACUGCUCGAUCAGCAAUUGGUUCUGGUUUAAUAUACUAUGGAAUACCGAAAGUGAGUUGUCCAAAUUCUAAAUUAAGUUUGAACAUUGUCAUGCACUCUUAAUUUUGUUCUUGGAUUGGACUUAUGUUUUUCUAAAAUGUUUUGUGAAAACAUCUACUCAAGAUUUUCAAAUCCAUUCUUUCUUAACAUUUGGUUAUCCAUUGAUUUUCCUUUUUUUUUUUUUAAAUUUUCUUUAAUGCUGUAACAGGGAUCUUGUGUUGGCCUAUAUUUUAUCAACAGACCUGAGUGGCUCAUUGUUGAUCAUGCCUGCUCUGCAUUUUCAUAUGUAUCAGUUCCUUUAUAUGACACUCUUGGUUCGUAAUUGGUUAUUGUAUAAAACUUUAUCGGACUUUUGCCUAGCUUGGCCAAACCACUGCUACAAAUCUACUAAAGCUUAACAAAGCCUUGAUAAUUGUUGCUCUGCAGGUCCAGAUGCUGUCAAGUAUAUUGUAAAUCACGCUGUCUUACAAGCUAUAUUUUGUGUGCCACAAACGUUAAACUCUGUGAGCUCAUUUUUCUUUUUUUUAUGGAUGUAUUUUAACAUUAAGAAAUGCAUAUUGAGCUCAGGGUCAAGUAUCAUUCAUGUCAUUAAGAAUUUGUCUUUCUAUUCUUAAUUCUGUUAGUCUAGGAAGUUGGUUAGAUCCUCGUCAAUUUCUACCUUGCUUACUGUAGCCACGUUGAAUGUGGAGUUGAUGAAUGAAUGAAAUAUGGAGCUAAUACUUAGAUCAUAUCAAGAACUAAAAAUCAUUCUUCUUAUUCUGCUUCACUAAUUGAUUAAUAUCAUAUGUUACUUCUUUGUUUCUUCUCAUGAGAAUCUGGUUUAUAAUUCUUAAUGUGCUUUGCUAUUUAUUUUUGUCUUCUUUCUUGGAAUUUGCAGUUGCUGAGCUUCUUGUCUGAGAUCCCAUCCGUACGUUUAAUAGUGGUAUAAAAGGCUAUAUCUGAUCUUUCUUAAUUGAAUGUCUGGAUAAGCUAACAUUGGCUUUAGUGCUAAUGUAUGGUUUUCAUGAAAGUUCGUUAUCUGCUUUCCUUUUUACACAGGUAGUUGGAGGAAUAGACGAUCAAAUGCCAUCACUUCCAUCAACAACUGGAGUUGAGGUUGUAUCAUAUUCAAAACUACUCAAUCAGGUAAUUGCAUGCUCCUUCUCUGUUCCUCUCCUGCCUCUUUGAUUGUUUGUUUGUUUUUCUCCUGUGGAGGGUUGGUCCUCUCCAUAUUGAACUCCUAUCCCUUGCCACCUACACAGGCCUCAGGAAUAUAAUGACAUGAUCUUUCCUUAAGACAAAUCCUUAAUGUUUUUCUGCAUCACUACAAUGAGAAUUGAUAUAGUAAAAAUCCUUCAUUCGAAAGGAGGAUUAUGGGGAAUGGGAUUAGGUUUUAUGUUGUGAUUUGGUAAUUUUGUUGUUAUUGUGUUAUCCUUUGCUGUUUAAGGGAGCAUUUGGAUUAGGUUUAUGCUGUGAUUUGGUAAUUUGUUGUUGUUUUAUUGUCCUUUGUCAUUUAAGAAGGCAUAAAGUGUAAUAUUUCCAUUUUCACCUGCAUCUUUCCAUCACAGAUGAUUUUGUAAUUUCAUGUGAUUAUCCUUUGUUUAUUUGCUGGUAGUGAUGUAUGAAUAUAUGUAUGUGGCAUUAGUUUCUUGGAGCAUGGUGACAUCUCUAUGUUAUCGAAAGCUGCUUGAUGUUAUGCAUGAACUGAUGCCUUUAUUUUUAUUUUAUUUUAACCCUCAGUUCUUAAGCGUUGCAGCUUGUUUAACCCUAGUUGUUCUCUCUGUCUGGUAUAUUGAAUUCCAUUGCAUACAUGCACCCUCAUGACCCAAGUUCCUGUUAAUUGAUUUUGGAGAGUUGUGCAUACCUUGUGUCAAAAUGUCAUGUCAUGUUCAUACCACAAAUAAUAGCACUGGUUUUUUGGUUGAUUAUGAUCUUCAUGUCUCAUACUUCUAUUGAACAUAAGCUGCUCUUAGCCCAUCUAGGUAUCACAUUCUUUUACACUUCUUAUCAAUGUUCUGUUUCAAGAUUAUAUAAUGAUAUUGCAAAUCCUUUUUUUUUUUUUUUAAUUAUAAAUUAAAUUAAAUUAUUUUCUCACAGUAAUCUAAUGGUUUCCUUAUUUUACAAUGGUUCCUUUUAGGGUCGCAGUCGUCCCCAACCUUUUUGCCCCCCAAAGCCUGAUGAUGUUGCAACCAUUUGCUAUACAAGUGGUACAACUGGGACACCUAAGGUAUACUUUAGUUCCUGUGAACUUCAGUUUUCUGAUCAUGAAGCUCAAGUAUUCCCCAAGAAUGACAUGACUGUCUAUGUAAUUAAAUAAAGUUAUUUAUUUAUUUAUAUUUUUUGGUGACUAUGGUAAGGGAGCUGUACUGUCCCAUGGAAACUUGAUUGCUAAUGUUGCUGGGGCCACUCUUUCCGUCAAAUUUUACCCCUCAGAUGUGUGAGUCCUAUUAAUAUGCAAUUGUUGUGCAUUAUGUUCUGUCUUUCUGUCUUAUCUGAAUUACCUGUUAUUCUUUCAGUUACAUAUCAUAUCUUCCUUUGGCACACAUCUAUGAACGGGCCAACCAGGUCAUGACAGCAUAUUUUGGAGUUGCAGUUGGAUUCUACCAGGGAGUAAGAUACUUAACAUUUCUUAUUUAAUUCAAGUCUAUGAAAUUUACUAAAUUUUUUACCAUUCCAAUUCAUGGUGCAAUCUAAGCAAUUUCCAUUCCAAUUCUUGGUGCAAUCUAUGCAUCUCUGACCUGGGAAGUGAAGUGUAGACAUGUUUAUCUUGAUUUGACUUUAUCUGGUAUCCCUUUUCCCAACAACUUAGUCUGUUGGGGUAAGCUGGAAUCUGACUUGGUGUCAUAUCAAACUUCUGAUUCACUGAGGUCUUGGGUCAGACCUCUCCAAGAACCUUUGUUUGUUCCCUCAUUUGUUUAUCUGUUUGCAUGCCUGCCUCUCCAUGUGUGGGUGUAGGGGUGGCUGGGUUGUAGUGCCGUAGUGUCACCAUCAGCCUGUGUACCAAAGGAAAAAAAUAAGAAAAAGGAAAAGGAAAAAAUGUAAACAUAGAGAAGGGAGCGGAUUUUUCUAAGGUACUAUGCAAAAUAUAAUUCAUUAUGAUCAUAAUUUUGUUUCCAAAAGUGAAAGGAAGGUAUUCCCGACUUGGUGGUGGUUCAUUUGUUUGUCGUUCCUUAAAAUGUAUAAAGUUCAUUACUUCUCAAUGGAACACAAUGCUGUGAGUUCUUCCCUUUUUCUAUUCAUAUUCUUGCUAAAGUUGUUGAAAUGUGAUCGAUGUGAUAUAUCUGAUGUAGGAUAACAUAAGCACCCUUUUUCACGUAGAAGAGAAAUUGACUGAGAAAGGAGUUAGAUGAGAGAAGAAGAAAUUAGAUGAGAAAUUAUGAGAGGAGAAUGGCUAUAAGAAAGGUCUAGAUUCAGAAGAUAAAGGGAUGAGAUCAAUAGGUUGACGAGGAGAAUGAUCAUAAAUGAUCUCAAAUAUUUACCAAAUUGUUAUAGGCAAACUCUAUUGAUGGCAACAUCGAAUCCCAAUUACCUUGUUUCUCUCUGACAAGACUCUUAAGCAAGUCUUCUAAGCUACAUUUAACAACCUCACUUUGACCAUUGGUUUGAGGAUGACAAGCUAGGAGAAUUUCAUAUGUGCCAAAAAUUCUUUGAAGUGUAUUCCAAAAAUAAUUAACAAAUUUGAUAUCUUUAUCUGAUGCUAAUAAUUUGGUUAAACAUGAGGCUUCAAUUGUUUUACUACAAGGGAUAACAUGUGUUAUCUUAAAAAACCUGGCUACCACAACAAAAAUAGAAUUAUGCCCUUGAUUUGAUUUUGGUAACCCCAAGAACAAAAUCCAUACUAAUGUUGCUUUAAGGGGUGCUAUACCAAGGUGUCUACAAUGUAUUGUGUCUCUUCUUUGUCUUAGCUUGCUGACAAGUCAACACUAUGACUCAAUUUUGAUCAUUCUCAACUUGGAUCUCAAAUCUUCAAAGCUGGUUCUAGAAAGCACCUUGGUAAGGAUGCAUGUUGUUUGGAGAGCUCUUGGAGUGUAAACCAAUGAAAUUUUCCCAUUCUCUAUCUUCUCCUUAGUAAAAUGAUGAUCUAUUUCCACAUGCUUUGUCUAAUCAUGAUGAAUGGGGUUCUUAGCAAUACUUAUGGUAGCUUGAUUGUACAAAACAUCUUUAUAGAAUCUUUUACUAGAAUUUUCAGCUUGUUUGGGAGUCUUUUUAACCACAUUCCUUCACAGAUUCCAUGUGUCAUAGCUCUAAAUUCUGCUUCUACGCUGCCCUGAGCUACAACAAACUGUUUUUUGCUUUGCCAUGUAACCAAAUUCCCCCAUAUAUAGUUGCAAUUUCUUAAAGUUGAUCUUCUAUCAGUUAUGGAUCCAAUCCAAUUUGCAUUUGAAAAAACCUUAAUGUUUCUCUUUUGUGUUCUUUUGAAAAAGAGUCCCUUUCUUGGAGUCAUUUUGAAAUAUCUUAGAAUAUGAUACACAACUUUCAUAUGUUGCUUUGUUAGAUUGUUCAUGAAUUAGCUAAUACAUUGACUGUAAAAACAAUGUCUGGUCUUGUGUGUGAGAGAUUGAUGAGUUUGUCCACAAAUCUUUGACAUCUUCCUUUAUUCAUCGGUCUGGUUUGGUUUGGUUAGGCUAUCUAUAGGGCGUAGUUGUUGGUUUUUGUGUCUUCGCUUCUUUCUUUUUGGGUGUUUUGGUUGCUUUGUAUACAUCAUGUAUGCUUUCUUCUCUCUUUAAUACAUUUUUCACUUACCAAUAAAAAAAAAAUCCCCCUUUAUUCACCAUAGCACUUUGAUAGUUUCUAGUUUAGUAGUGUAGUCCAUAAGUGUGUUUGCAUGUUUACAAUCAAACAUCCCAAUCUCCUUUGGUAGUUUGGCCCAUUCAAUUUGUGUCCAAUAAUGAAAAGAGGAGCACCAUCUAAUCCUCCAUGUUGCUUGGAAUAGGAGCUUCUUGAGUGGAGUCCUUGGUGGCCAUUCCGUAUUUGGUCAUGAACACAUUGAAUGGUUUAAAUUCUGCUCUGAUACCAUGAAGAAAUUUGAGGGAGAAAAUAAUGUUUUUUUUUUUCAAAUUGAUUAUAGUAUAAGUAUUUAUACACGAUGUUACCCUUGAAAAGAAAUCUAAUCCCUGGUUUUUAGGAGAGAAUAUCUCACAAUUGUAAAUUCGCAUGAAUAAUGAAUAUCUCACAACUGUAUCUCAUAACUGUAAAUUCACAUGAAUAUCUCACAGUUGUAUCACUCAGUUGUAACACAGUUGGAAUCUCACAGCUGUAACACAACCAUCAAUUCCUAAUUAAUCCGAAUUUCCACACUAUUUAACUUCCAAAUCAAGAAAUCUCAAAUAAAGAUGAGAAAACUACAUAGCUUAUACCAUCUAAACAAGUAGCCAUCACAAAUUAUAGAAUCAACGUGAUCUCAACGAUGACCAUUUUGAAUUUAUCGGAAAAGGACAUCAAAAUCAAGACAAUUAAGGGCUUGUUUGCAAAUGUUUUCGAAAACAAUUGUUUAGAACAGUUCUCUAAUGUUUACUUAAACAAAAGUUUGUGUUAGGAAAUUGAGGCUAAUCCAAACUAUGGUAAUCAUCCUAAGAGGGGGGGGGGGGGGGGGGGAAAAAGGGGGAAGGGCCCUUUUUUCCCAAUUUUAACCAUGCAAAAAAAAAAAAAAAUUUUAUGCCAAAAUUUAAAAAAACCAAUUUCCUAUAAUUUAAAAAAAUUUGGGAAAAAAAGGGGGAAAAAGGAAAAUUUUUAGGGGUUUAAAAUUUUUUUACCAAAUCCCCCCCCCCCCAACCCCCAAAAAAAGGGGGGGUUCCCCAUUUUUGAAACUUCAACCAACCUUCCAACCCCUUUAAAAUUGGGUAAAGCUUUUAAUUCCCCCCCUUGGAAUUUUGGGCCCAACCCCCCUUUUACCUUUUUAAAAAUUUCCCCCCCCUUGAAAAACCCCCGAAGGAGACCCCCCCCCUUGGAAAAAUUCCUCUCAAAGGUAUACAAAGAUUGAUCUCACAAAAAUCCUAGUAAUAGAACUUUAGGCUCAAAGAUACAAGAAAAACUAGGAUUGAAUGGUGCACUCAAGAUAUGCAAGUUAUGAAACAAUGGUGUACUCAAAAACACUGUUCUAAGGCUCAAAUAUAUUCAAGAAUGAUUUGGGAAGGUUAAGCUUAUGAAACAAUGAAGAUUGGAGCCUUUUUAUAGAAGAAAAAAGUCAAACUAGCAGUUGGGGGUUCGACCGGUCGAGCUGAGGGUCGACCGGUCGAGCUGAGGGUCGACCGGUUGACUAGCCGUUAGGAAAAGUGACCGUUGGUCCUCAACCGGUUGAGGUUCAACCUUGACCGGGAAGAGAAGGCCACUGGGAGAGAAAGAAACUUUUUGGCCUCCUUUAACCGGUCCUCGACCGGACGAGCACAAUCGGUCGACCGGUUGAGCCAUUUUUUUGGCUCAACACUCAAUCUUUUUCAACUUAAAACCUUUUAACACAAGUUUGAAAAUCAUUUAACACAAGGUUUUAGUUGAAAACAUGAAAUCAUCAAAUUCUUAAGAUAUUUAAAACAAUAUUACUCUUAGAUGAUUUUGGUGCAUAAAUAAAGAAUGAAAUGCAUGAAAGUCUUAGUGCACCAACAACCUUACAAAGAGAUCUUAAGAAGUUUUGGUCUUGAAAAACUCUUCUCUUUGAGGUGGUCUUCUUCUUCAUGAUUUCUCCUUGACUUGAUUUGUCUUUGGAUUGCCACUUUGGAAGUCGUCUUGCCUAAUCACACUUAAAAUAUGAUCAUUAGUUCUAAACCUUGUUUUGUUAUCAUCAAAAUCAAGAUUAACCAAACCUUGAUUUCACAAUCUCUNNNNNNNNNNNNNNNNNNNNNNNNNNNNNNNNNNNNNNNNNNNNNNNNNNNNNNNNNNNNNNNNNNNNNNNNNNNNNNNNNNNNNNNNNNNNNNNNNNNNAAAACCUUUUAACACAAGUUUGAAAAUCAUUUAACACAAGGUUUUAGUUGAAAACAUGAAAUCAUCAAAUUCUUAAGAUAUUUAAAACAAUAUUACUCUUAGAUGAUUUUGGUGCAUAAAUAAAGAAUGAAAUGCAUGAAAGUCUUAGUGCACCAACAACCUUACAAAGAGAUCUUAAGAAGUUUUGGUCUUGAAAAACUCUUCUCUUUGAGGUGGUCUUCUUCUUCAUGAUUUCUCCUUGACUUGAUUUGUCUUUGGAUUGCCACUUUGGAAGUCGUCUUGCCUAAUCACACUUAAAAUAUGAUCAUUAGUUCUAAACCUUGUUUUGUUAUCAUCAAAAUCAAGAUUAACCAAACCUUGAUUUCACAAUCUCUCCCUUUUUUAUGAUGACAAAACCAAGGUUGCUAAAAAGCUCCCCCUCAAUAUAUGCUCCUUUGAAUUUAGAAAAUAUUCAAGUUUAGAAACUUCAAGGAGUAUAUUAAGGAUGCUCAAAAUGAUAUAAUUAAACAUAAAUAACAUAAAGAGCAAUUUAGCAAUUUGGCAAGACAUUAUUAUUAAAUAUGAUGCAUACAAAUAUAACCAAAAAAACACAUAACAUCAAUAUGAAUAGGAUUGCUAAAACAAUAUUUGAAAUAUCUUCCCAAGUUAGCAACCUACCAUUACUUCUCCCCCUUUUUGUCAUCAACAAAAAGUUUCAAUAAAACAUAUAAGGGGAAUCACAUGUUUAUCAAAAGUUUAAAAAAUAAACAAUAAGCAUGAUAUGAUUUCUCAUGAAAAUGAAUCUCCCCCUUUUUCAUUUGAGAAUAGUUUCCAAAUAAAAGAUUGCUCAUCUUUAGAGCAUUCCCAAUUUAAAGCAUGAUUUGGAAAAAUAUAUAUGGGAGAACAUAUGCAUUUAAAAAGAUAUAUAAUAUGCAUUGAAUAACAUAUUUAGGGCAUACAAGCAUAUGAUCAUUUAAUUUUACAUAGGUAUAUAUAAAAAAUCUUCUUUUUAAAUCCAAAACCUUGGUUUAACAGAUAUGCCAAUUUUAUCAAAGUGAUACCAAAAGUUAUAUUAUCAAAAGAUAUACCAAGUGUUAGCAAAAUGAUACCAAUUGCAAAUUUAGCUUUAAAAGGGAUACCAUUACCAAUAUUAUCAAUGCAUUUCUUCCAAGGUAAGCAUAUCCUCCUUUUUGCAUGGAUCCCUACAAAACAAAUUUAGUAACUUUUGGUACCCAUAUCCUUUUGGGUCCUAGAGGGUUAGUCUUUCUUCCCUUUGGAAUCCAAAGUAAUUUAGAGUUUUGAAGAACAUGAGGAGAUUUUCUUAAGGGACAAAUAUUACUAAUGUGACCUCAUUUUUCACAAAAAUUGCAAAUAGUUGAAGGUGAAAAACUAGAGGCUUCCUUUUAAAAAAAAAUGAAUUUUUUUUUUUUGAAAAGCUUAUAGGCUAGCCUCCUUUUAUUAAAAAUUGCAUUUUUGAUUUGCCAAAAUCAUAUCAAAGGUCUUUUGGCCAUUUGAGAAUUUUUAACUCCUCAUUUUCCUUUUCAAAAGAGAUUUUUGCCUUUUCAAUAUUUUCAAAAUUUUCAUUAUGCUCAUUGAGCUCAUUUUGAAGACAAGAAUUCUUUUUCUUGAGAGAAAUAUUUUUGAAAACAAGUUUUUCAAUAUCAAAAUAUAAUUCUUGAAGUGCAUCUUGAAUUUCAAAAUGGUUGGAGUUGGAGUUUACCUCAUCACUUUCACUUUCACUUUCUUCCUCUUCAUCAUCAUUUGUUAUAGCCAUAAAGGCUAUACUUUUCUCAUUUUCUUCAACUCUUCGAUGAUUGUACAACUCUAUCUCAUAAGUCAUGAGUGACCCAAUGAGUUCUUCAAGUGAGAACUUGGUGAGAUCCUUUGCUUCUUGAAUAGCCGUCACUUUUGUUUCCCAUUUAUUUGGUAGAGACCUUAAGAUCUUCAUGACUUUCUCUACUUCGGUGUAGGUCUUUCCCAAGGCUUCUAGUUCAUUCACAAUCACAAGAAACCUAGAAAACAUCUCAACAAUAGAUUCAAAAUCCUUUAUAGAAAAUAAUUCAUAAUCAUGCAUAAGGAUAUUGAUUUUAGACUCUUGAACUUGGUCGUUUCCCUCAUAAGUGACUUCUAAUAGUUUCCAAAUUUCUUUAGCCGACUUACAAUGCCAAAUACGAUUAAAUUCAUUUCUAUCAAUAGCACAAUGUAAGAUAAAAACAGCUUUGACAUUUAAUUGAACUUUCUUUCUAUCAAGUUCAUCCCAUUCAUGCUUAAGUUUUGGAACCAUCACUCCAUUUUCUAAUUUUGAAGGAAUGUGGGGACCAUCUUCAAUGACAUCCCAUAAAUCAAGAUUAGUAGAUUGGAUAAACCAAGUCAUUUUGGUUUUCCAAUAGGGAUAAUCGGUUCCCGUGAAAAGUGGAGGUCGGGUGGUUGAAAAACUUUCAAGUUGGGAUGAGGUUGAUGGAAUAGCCAUUACUUCUUAGACAGUUAAGUCUUAACAAGAAGCCUUGCUCUGAUACCAGUUUGUUUGGAAACUUAAAAUGUUCUCAAUCUUUUUUAUGUGUUUUCAAAUAUUUCUUAAAAACAAAUUUUAUUUGUGAUACUUUAUUUUCAAUCAUUUUCAAUAUUUAUACAAUUAUUUUUUAAGACAGUUCUAAAAAAAACAAGUAAAACAAUUAAAUCAUGUUAUUAGAAAACACUAUAUUUUUAUAAUAAGUUCUCAAAAAAAUUACCGAAUGUGUUUUCAAAUUUGGUAAAUAGUUCCCAAAUAGGCUCCAAGAUACCCAUAUUUCAUUCUCUCAAAUUCAACCACAUGGACACUCGUAGCUUUUAAAAUGGCCACUUCACGGCAUCAACACCUUUAUUCUCAAUUCCCGCAUGAUGGUGUGGAGAACAAAUGUGUAUUCUUGAAGAAACUCUUAUCCCUUACUAUGAUUGGCUCUCAACUUACUUUGAGAACUAAGAUACCUUAAUGCUUGAUGGUCAAAGUACAACACAAACUCUUAAGGUACUAGAUCAUACUUCCAAUGACGAAGUGCUUGCAAAACAACAUAGAACUUUUUAUGAUAAAUGGAAUACCUCUAUUUAGUCUCAUUGGGUUUCUUACUAAAGUAUACAAGAUGCCCUUCUUGACUUCAGACACCACCUAUGCCAACCCCUUAUGCGUCACCUGCCACCUCAAAGACUUUUGAAAAAGUUGGAUUGCUUAAGUAGGUGCUUUAGUCAUUUGUCAUUUUAAAAGCUCUUUAAAAAUUUGGAUGACUAAGACUAUGUUGAAUAGAACUGUUUUCAAUAGUCUUAGCCCUUGUGCUGUCCUAGUCUUGCUCACCCUUACCAUGACAAUGGUGACACUAUGUUAGAACCACUAGAUUGAAGAGUACUUGAAAUGGACUCUCCACCCUUAUCGUUGCUUACUCCCCUGACUAGUGUUUUUACUGCCAUGUGAAGUGAUUUGAGUGACUUUAACACUGCUAGUAUCUCUGUGGUUGUCUCCGACCCUAGCUAGAGAUAAUCCUUGUGAACAAUAAGACUUCCUAGUUUGAGAAAUCCUAAGAUCUGUCUCUAAAGCCUUGUGAUAGGCUUCUUCUAAAGUGUUUUUACUUCUCUUUUAAUUUGUGGUCUCAAUCCAUUGAUAAAUUUUGCCAGAGUUACCCAAGAUUCCUCCCUUGCAUUGAAGCCUCUUAGAAUGAGCUAAGUAGUCUUUGACAUUGGAAGAUAAUUGCUUGAGGUUAAUUUCACAUUUCAGGCCAAAAGGUGAUUGGUUCUUCACCUAAUCACACUAGGUUAGAUGUGACACUUUGCCAAUAUUGCUUUACAGAGCCAACAAGUUUCAUUCUGGUGAAGUAAAUGUGUUGGGUGUCCUACAUAUCAUUAAAAGCAAUCCUCAAGAUUUGCUAAUCGUUCAUCAUAACUAGGGGCAUCUACUUGAACCUUCUUGGUUGUAUUCACUUGAAUUAUCAUUGUGGCUGUCAUGAAUGGGUCAUUCUCACCCAUGUCUCCUAGUCCAUCAUGAGGGUCAUUAUUGAUUGUGUAAUUUUGGGCUCUACUUCCCCUUAUAGUUUUUCUAAGGUUCUCUUAUUGUGCAUUUAUCAGUGUGGUUAAGAGACCUUAGCAUGACCAUGGACUCUCAAAAGGAAUAAGAUUUGGUUCAUUGGUAGGCAUUCCAAAAUGAGAGUCUACACUAUUUUUGUUCUAAGGUGUAGAAACUGGGUGACUCAAACUGAUGUCUUUGGUUAGACAUACCCAAAUUGACUUGUAAUUAGGAGAAUUGCCUAGCCUUCUCAGAAUGAAAUUCAAUCAAUUCAGAACAAAAUUCUGUUUGAAAGUCAUUACAGAGUUGUCUAUAGAAUUCUGUUGAAGCAAAUUGGGUCAUGGAGAUGACUCAAGGACCCUGAAUGAAGAAAGCAUAAAAAAAAUAAAUCAUGAGAUAGGUGUAUAAGGAUUUUUUUUUUCCUUUUUAAAAAAAAAAUUAAAGUAAGGGUGCGAAUGAAAAGAAAAUUAAAGGGUUUGAUUUGAAGAAUGAGAGCUUUAAACUAGCUCACAACCAGAUCUCAAGAUGGGCCGACAAAUUAUUGACUUUCCAAGUAAUAAAAAUAUUAGUCAACUUCAAUGAGAGAAUGCAUACCUUAUCAAUUCUACAAUUAAUCUCUAGCGUAAACUUCUUAUGAUGGCUUUUUUUUUCCUUUUAUUAUGAUGGCCUUUUUUUUUUUUGAUGGAUUUAUUUGCUUUAAUACCAAAUUGUUGUAGGACAAUGGAAGCACUUUAUUUAUUUAUUUUUAUUUUUGUUCUUUUAAAUAUAGAAGUGAAAUUAGCUAAGAAAGGAGUUAGACUAGAAGAGAAGAAAUUAUGAGAAAUUAUGAGAGAAUAAGAAGAGAGAAAAGACAUAUUUUCUAGAUAUUUUUCAAAAGUAAUAGUAGUCUACAUUGUUAUAAAUUAGCCUCAAUUAUAAGUAAUUGAAGAUACAAAUCCUAAAGGAAGUACCAUUUUAAUACUAGUUGAAAUAUUGAACUAAAGUGAUAAGAAUUGGAACUAAACUUGAAAUGAGCAAUUUUAAUUCCCUUCAUUAUGCUGUUUUGCUUUCAAUCUGAGGUGGAAAGUCCCUUUUAUAUAGACAAAAAAGAGACAUACUAAAAGGUGCCUAAGAAAAAACGAGUCAGAACCCUGGUAAACAAGAGUAUAUUGAGAGUGCCAAAAGGCUAAAAUCAUAACAAAAAUUAAAGGCCCCAACAUGGUCUAACCCAGAACAGUUGAGAGAAUCUUAAAAAGGGAGCUUUACCGACCCCAAAACAGCCCCAAGGUAAUCCAAACAAAACUUCAGGAAAGAUUCUUUGGGGGCCUGAUCCAAGCACUCGAGAUCUUCAAAUACAAAUAGUUAUGGGUAGUGCAUGCUGAUUAAGUGAACUGGUAUUUUUACUUAUGAUUAUUUUGUCUCUUUCUUUCCCUAUUGUUUUAUUAUGGACAUAACUGAUCCUUUAUGCCAUGGGUACUUAUCUUCACAACAUUUAUUUUAAAUGCAUGUCAUUUUUUAACUCAGAUUUACUAUCAUAUUCAUUAUGGUAAAGUAGAGAAUCUUUUCUUCUUUAUUUUUGUUCUUUGAAGAGCCGAGAUAGGUAUUUAUGUUUUUGAAACCUUUGUAUAGGACAAUUUGAAACUAAUGGAUGAUAUGGCUGCUUUAAGACCAACUAUAUUCUGCAGUGUUCCUCGACUGUACAAUAGAAUCUAUGCUGGGUAAUAAUUCUCUGGUGUUCUUUUAUAAUUUAUUCAUGUGAUUGUAACUCAUAUGAGCAUUAAAUAUUUUGAUUGGUUGCUUUGCUUGUUGCAGCAUUACAAAUGCUGUAAAGACAUCUGGUGUUUUAAGGGAGAGGCUGUUCAAUGCUGCAUACAAUGCUAAGAAGAGAGCAAUAUUGAGUGGUAAAAUAUACUAUCAAUUAGAUUUUUGUCACAUUUUUGCACGUGGUCGCCUUUUGGGUCUCGCUUGCUAGACUGUCAUACUUAAAACAUGGAUAUUCUCCCUCCAUCAUAACUAAUUGUUAAUAAAACUGUAUUAUUUAUACUGAAGUUUCGGAAGGUUCAUCCUUUCGUGCUUCCAUAAGUGUGAGUUUGCCUUUGAGUAUUAGAUUUAAGUAUCAUAUGAUCUUUGACUUGUAUAGAUUAAUAAUAUGGUUAAAAUGAAAGGUACAGAUGAAUAGCCAUGGAAAGAUUGUUGUGGAGAGAAAGAGAGCAUUUUCAGUUUUUUUAUUGCAUAACAAGUGAUGGGGCUAUGCUUCUAAGGGCUUCUUUUUCUUCUUUCUUCUUUCACAAUUUGAUGAACCUGAUCAUGAACAAUAUUGUUGAUUAUACUUGAGGUCUUAGGGAUGCUGGAGGCACUCAGAAAAAUAAUAUUCAACAAUCAGUUCAUGUUGCAUGUUUGGAUUUUAACAAGCACUAGCAUUGUGUAUGAAAGUUGCUUUAAUUCUCAUUUGUGCUAUAUCCUUCAUGAAAAAACCAUAUUCCCACAUGGUCUAACCUUGCCUCAAAUUGUUGCAGAACUUAGUGAUGUUUGUUCUUCUAUUCCUUUGAACAGAUGUAAGAGAAGUUGUACAAAAAAUUCCUUUAAAUUAGCAUAAAACAUCAGAAUAUUUGGAAAAGAUUUCUGAUGAAACAAGUUUUAGUAGCCACCUUAUGGACUCCAAGAUCAGCUUGUUUGAAGAUGUAACUGGCUGAAACAUAAGCUUUUAACUUGGAAAAUGAUUUUGAUGUGACAUGUAGGUUACUGGCUUUUGAAACUCUGAUUAUGGUGAAUAUAUAGAAGUUAAAUAACUGGAAAAGGAUUUGCAUGGAUAAUGAAUUUCAACAUUUAUAAAUUUCUUUUAAGGUUUGGAAGCCUAGAACUUCUUGCUUCAAAAGCAAUGAAGGUCCAGAAAAACAAUUUUCUUUAGAGCUUUCGAAAACUGUUCCAGUAUCCUUUACAUUUCCGAGUACUCAUUGCUGAAUGAGCUUCUGUGGUACUGUUCACCUCACUCUUUCCCAUGGAAAAACUUGAUUAUUCUGUGCUAUGUGCCUGUGCCUAGCAGAUGGGUUGGAGUGUGGAUGUGUUUGUAAGUUGGGUUGAUGUUUGUUAUAGCUAUAAACCUGUGAUUCUGGGUUAUAUGUGUAGUAUUGGUGCAUUUUAAAGAUUGUAUCAUUGUUUUGUUGAUCUGAUUAUGGCUCCAAAGCUGAUUCUGCCACUUUUUCUUGCUCCUACCACCAGAUGCUUGCUUCUUUUUAUUUUUAUUUAUUUUUAUUCUUUUGUCUUUAUUGGUUAUGUUAUAUAUUAUUGUUUCAGGUAAGAAUCCAUCUCCCAUGUGGGACAGAUUGGUAUUUAAUAAAAUAAAAGAAAAGCUUGGAGGCCGAGUUCGAUUUAUGGUUUCGGGUGCCUCACCCUUGUCUCCUGAUGUCAUGGAAUUUUUGAGGAUGUAAGUUCAUUGUUUUUCUUCUCCCAAAUAUUGAAUGCUUGCUAUUAGAAUGUAAGGACCCAAUGCAUAUAUUGUUAAUUUCCUUGUUUUGGGCUCAAUAAUGAGUUGGGAUUACUUAACAGCUGCUUUGGGGGUCGAAUAACCGAAGGAUAUGGAAUGACUGAAACUUCUUGUGUAAUAAGCUCAAUGGAUGAGAGUGACAACCUAACCGGUCAUGUUGGAUCACCUAAUCCAGCUUGUGGUGAGUCAUCGAUAUUGGUUGUUGGGGUGGUUGGUAUUCCUAUCAUGAUCAGGCAUGAUAUUGAUAAUCUGACAAAAUAUAUCCACCUGGAUUUAGACAAAAUUAAGAACCUGGCUGAAGUUUGAUAAGUGCAUUAGAUCAUUUUGGAUUGUAUCGCCUUUCCAUCUGGUUUCUUUCUGUUAAUAACCAUCCACAUACUCUUUUCAUGUGUGUAUUCUACCUGCUUUGCCCUCAUUUUUUAUUGUAAUUAAUGCGGUCAAGGGAUAUUGGUAGCUUACAGGUGAGUUAAAACACUUCUGGAUUUGAUAUAGCUAGGUGGAAGUGCCCCAAAAAAUAAGUUUGAAAUGGUUGUCUUAUCAUUGGUCUUUAUGUUGGAGAUCUCAAUUGAUUUCAUUUAUAAAGAUAGAAUAAAGUUGAAACAAGAAAAAUGUGGCUCCUGAGUACAACAAUUUUCUUUCCAUUGUGGUCUGUGCUGCUCUAUUUUGGGAUAAAUUUAUGUUAAUUUGUCCUCUUUCAGAAGUGAAGCUUGUGGAUGUUCCGGAAAUGAACUACACAUCUGAGGAUCAGCCCUAUCCUCGUGGUGAAAUCUGUGUUCGGGGUCCCAUUCUUUUUCUAGGUUACCAUAAAGAUGAAGUGCAGACGUACCCACCUUGCCUGUUCUGCUGGUUCUUUUGAAUGUUGUGCAUUUUGUCAAAAUUGGAUACAUCUGAUUAUGUGAUCAAAUUGAACAGGAGAGAGGUAAUUGAUGAAGAUGGAUGGCUUCAUACGGGAGACAUAGGUUUAUGGUUACCUGGAGGUCGCCUAAAGAUCAUUGAUAGGUAAAGACCAUAUCAUUUUUGUUGACAGUUCUUAGACGAAUUAAUAAUGACUCCUCUCUAGUUUUGGAUGACUCAAUUGACUGUAUGUUCAUAUCUUGGUCCUGUGAUUUUGUUAUUGAUAUAAUCGACUAUAAUUACAUACUUCAUUACCUGUGCAUUUCUUAGCUUUGUAUUAAAAGUUGUUAUAUGACAGGAAGAAGAACAUUUUUAAGUUGGCACAAGGAGAGUACAUAGCUCCAGAGAAAAUUGAGAAUGUAUAUGCUAAAUGCAAAUUUGUUGCCCAGUGCUUUGUAUAUGGUAAGAAAAAUGAGAUUUUACAAAUCUCUCUUUCAUCUUUUGCCUGCUGACUGCUUAUUUCUCUGAUGAUAGGUGACAGCAUGAACUCAUCUUUGGUUGCUAUAGUGUCAGUGGACCCAGAUGUUUUAAAAGCAUGGGCUGCAUCUGAAGGCAUCCAGGUGAUUUCUUAGCUUGGUUUAUUCAGUGUCACAAACAAGAAAGUGACAAUCCUCAUCAGAUUUUUAUUUUUUAUUUUAUUUUUUAUUAUUAUUAUUUUUUAUUUUAUCUGCUUGCAUUCUGAGUUUAAAAGAUAUGCUUGGAAAAUUGACAGACUUCAUAUUGCUGCAGCAGUUGAAGUUCAGAUGACUUGUUUUUGCCUGUAUAGUUGCAUUCUUGGUGCUCUCUGGGCAUAUCUUGUUGAUAUUUAAGUGAAUAUGGUUCUUAGAUACAGAGAAGAACAUGCUCACUUGAGUCUACUUCAAGGAUCUGCAAUUGAUUCCUUGCACCAGAUAGUAUAUAUUUGUUUUCAAAUGUAUUGAUCUAGUUAUCUUGUCAUUAAUCAUUAUGGCCUCUUCCCUGAUUUGCAUUUGUUUGCUCCAUUUAUUCUGAAUUCUCUAAUCAAGACCAUUGGAACAAUAGCUUGCAAGGAAAUAAUGUCACAGACAAUGUGCCCUACUCUGUGUGUGUGUGUGUUGUAUUAUAUUCCUUUUAGUUAAGAUGCAUUUCAAUCCUGAACUAUGAUUACAAAGAAAUGAUCAUCACUUCAUCAAGAAUUUCAACCCUUUCUUGUUUCAAUCAGAAUAUUUUAGAACAUGAUCUCUUUUUGCACUUAAGAAGGGUGACAUGUCCCAAAUUUUCAAGCCACAUUCCAGAUAUAUGAAGGCUGACUUAUGGAUUUUUCUUUUUUGAUUUUUGUUUCUGUUGUGUGCAUAUUGUUGCUUUUCUGUUUCUAAGUAGAACAAGGGUGUUGACUGUUUGAUUGAAACCCAUUUGACCAAUUUUUUUAUGGUUCUGUGGUAAUGUGACUGCAGUAUCAAGAUUUAGGACAACUGUGCAAUGACCCAAGAGUGAGGGCUGCUGUCCUGGCUGACAUGGAUGUUGUUGGUAGGGAAGCUAAGGUAAUCUAUCUCAUCUCUCAUAAGAAAAGAAACAUUUUUGUCUGAACAAAAAUGUUAAAACCAGAUCUUCUAGUUUCACAAUGUGCAGUUCUUUUCUUCUAUUUAUUUUAUGUACAUUUCACUGCAGUUGAGAGGUUUUGAAUUUGCCAAAGCUGUGACUUUGGUGCUUGAACCAUUUACCAUGGACAAUGAUCUGCUUACUCCAACAUUCAAGGCAAGUGUUCAAUUUAAAAAUCUGAGAAAAUAAAACCAGAGCAGACACAAUAAAAUGGCAGGCUCUUACUGCAUUAUCUUCUUUCAUGUUCUUCCAGAUCAAGAGACCUCAAGCAAAGGCAUACUUUGCAAAUGCAAUAUCUAACAUGUAUGCUGAGCUCUCUACAUCCGAUCCCUCCCCUCAGAGCAAGUUGUGAACUAUGUUAACAAAAUGCUGUAUCAAUGCUGAGCAUUUCAGACCUGGGAUUCAUGCAACCUCCCACUUGAUAAUAAGAUUACUGGGGUGGCAACAUAGUAAAUGGCUUGGAACAUCCUCAUGUGGAAGGUAUCUGAUCUUCUACUCCCGCUUUUAACUUUUUCCUCUGUUUCCUAAUAAGUUCAUUGUGGAUAUUAUAGCUAAUAAACCACACCUGAUUGCUCAGUUCAUCUAUGCUUAUAUUCAUUGUUGUAUUCUCAAAUAAUGUAUCAGUAAUGAAGCUGAAGAUGAAUUUCAAGGUGUUGGUAUUUCAUUAUUUAUGAGCAUAACUGUGAAUCAUCUUGCAUGAUGAUUAGUUCUUGAGGACCAAUUGUUAUAGAUAGCCCCUGCAUGAGUGGACAUAACUGUGAAAUUAGAGUUUAUAAUUCUAGGAACAGGUGGAUCUAUGGAAGGAAGAUUUCCAGAUUCUCAAAGAUUCUAUAAGCAAGCAACAUCACCUGUUAAUUUAGAACUCAAAAGUAUAAUCUCCUUUUCAUUUCUUCAUAAGGAAUACCUGAAGCCAUAAAAAAUUUAAUGAAGCCAUUAUAUUUAGUAAAAAUACUAUUUCACUUUUGUUUUUCCGAAAAAGUACAUCUUGAAUGCAUCAAUCAUCACUUUUGGGUUAAAUUCGUAUCGAUGUACAUAAUUCAUUUAAUAAAUAAGAUGUUCUUGAAUUGAUUUGACAGGAACUGCUCUAGACUCCAUUUUCACCUAAUAAUAAAAAUGCUUCUUGCUGCAAAGAAUUCAACCAUGUAUUAACGGCGGAGAAGUACACAACAAUGUAUAUACCGUAUACGUCUAAAAUCGGAUGGCCCCCAGUCAAAGAGUCUUACCCAAGUUUCUUCAACAUUUUUUAAAAUUUGGUAUCCACAUGAGCAUUGUAGGAGACGAUCAUCCUAAAGAAUCCAAUGAAGAAAAAGUGUGUAGCCAACUGCAGCAGCUUCCUUUAUUAGCUUCAACAUGACAAAAACCGGUGGGGUCUGUCUCUGUCUCUCAACGCAAGUCAACAUACGAAUCAAUUGGAUUAUACUAGCAUAUACUAGCAAAUUAAUGGCUCUAGCUUGCCUUCCUGGAUGGCUACGAUCAUUGAUUGCAGCAAGCUAAGGGCUAAUCUUGUCGUACCUAGUGUCAUUACAGUUGGGCAACUUUUGAUAUUGCAUUGGAAGUGACGUUUAAUUAUCGGAGUUUCAACUUCAUUAAUGAUUUUAAAAUAAGGGCAGUUCAAAUCAAUGGACUUCAAUUAUUAUCGAUUGGAACAUUCUCUCGAGGAAUAAUCAAUGGCAUUAGAAUUGAAGUCCAAGGCCACGAGCCACCUCCAACCCUUUUGGAAGUAUCUUCGUAUACUAAAGAAGAGGAAUGAUUUUGGAGAAGUAAGAGAACAAAAUGUCUGAUGCACCUAACUUCUGUGCACAAAGAGAAAAGUGGAUCGAGUGAAAUCUAAUAUGGAAAAUUUCAUGAUAUGGUCAUGGGACACUUUAAGAUGCUGUGUUCUGACUGUGAUUGAGAAAAGAAAGCAAUUUGGGAAUUCCAUGUUUUCUUGUACCCUGUUUGUCACAUCAUCAGCUCCUUUUCAGGUGAUUGAGUAGAAAAUCAAGAGUAUGAUUCAGAGGUUGUUUGUGAUUUUGGAAACAAUAAAUGACGUCACAGCUAAUAAAAAAUGGAGGUUGUCCUUCAUGUUUCGAAUGGGAUGCCUCUCCCUUUCCAGAUGGCAAGGCUCGUGAGAAACGAACGGCGCAGAGGUGCCAAGAUCGUAGCACGGAACAAGGAGAGGCCUACACGUGACCUUCGCCCUCCUCUCUCCUUGAGGAGAAUGUUUUAUUGCAUUGGCAAAGAGAGACAUUCAGGCUCUAGCUUAGAGAUUCCAACCACAGGGGAAAGUGUGUUUCUACACUCAUCUAAAAAAUAUCAUAAAACAACAAGUGUUAAAAAUAUAAUUAAAAUUCGAUAAAAAAAUAUUACAUUUAAUCAUUCAUGCACUAUAUUUUAAUAAUAUAUGUGUUACUUAUUAUUAUUAUUAUUAUUAUAUAUACUGACUUUGACCUAUUAAUAUAUUAAAUUUAAUUAUAUUUAAAAGGUUUUUAUUUUGUGGUACCAAAGAAAUUGUUCAUUGUGAUUUUAGUGUCAUGACUUUUUUUGUUGUUUGAGACGCUAUUAAAAAACUACCACUCGUUAUAAAAGUUGAUGAGUUUGAUUAUAUUAUUAAAAUGUAUUUUUGUGACAACUAUGGAAAAUGAAUUACUGAUUAGGUUGUAUGAGGAGUGUCACGUUGUCGUAAGAGUGAAUGAGUUUAGCUAUAUUAUUAAAAUUAUAUUUUUUGGUAAUUAUAAAAAAAAACAUCAUUAAUUAGGUAGUAUCAUAUAUUUAUGUUUUACUUUUGUACCAUAAUCUCAUUUAUUUCUUCCUUUAUAUAUUGAUUGCAUAUUUGUAUAUUUAUUUAAAAAUUAAAAUUUUAUUAUAUAUAUUGAACAGUCUAAAUCUUUUGUUCAAUAGGUACCAAUACGGCACCCUGGACAUUUUCCAAACUAGAAAUGUUAUUUAAUGAACCGAAUUUUUUGUAUGAUAGAUAUCACAAUCGGUAUCUAACAUGAUUUUUUGUUUGAUAUGUAUCAUUAUCGGUAUCCAACAUUUUCCUAAAUGGAGAUGUGUUCCAAAAUGGAUGAAAGAGUGAUAGUGAGUCUUAAGCCUAAAGUAGGUGAUGAGUCUCAAGUUUCCCCAAGUAAAGGCUUGUUUAGAAGCUUUUCAAAAUAUAUAUUUUUUUAAAAACUAAUUUUUGAAAAUAAGUUUGAAAAAUAAUAAUAUUAAUGUUUAUAACAGAAGUGCGUUACAUUGUAGAUGCUUAUGCAUGUCCAGUCCUCCAUUAAGGUAGUGGAGCUUGAUGCACCAGCUCCUCUAAAUACGCACGUGCUCAGAAGUCUCAGCCCACCAACAAGACCGAGUAUUGGUGGUUCGUGGAAUCGUCGGUAGCCGUAGGUCAGCGGUGCACCACAUUCCCACUCACAGGACGCUAAUCCCAUGCACCAACCUUCAGCGAAUCUCCGGACAUCCCUGGCCCACAUCUCCACAGCCGUCAUACCACUCCCAUCCGACGCUCCAACGUCACGCAAAAUCUACGGAAAUUUACUCUCUUUUCAAUGACCAAGGGUUACAGCGUUCUGAACUGAUUUGUUUGCUUAGUUAUUUAUUUGGGCGCACUAAAUGGUACUAAAUUUGUGCGGCGUUUGAUUAGGUCCACAAAUCUAACCGUCAUAACGAGGAACCCCAUAGAGCUCACAUACACCUAGCAGUAGAGGAUAAAUACCCACCAACACCGUCUCUUCUUCGCUCCAAAGCGAACGGGAAUCAGAGUCAAUACCAACCUACGAGAGGAGAAGUAAUAUAACGACAACCUUAGGGUAGUCGCACACGACUAUACCCCAGGGGCCAGUUCCACCGAGACGGAACCACUUUAAUUCUCAUCAUAUUUUCUCUAUUCUUUUUCUCGAAGCAAUCAUCUUGGAGAAUUUAAUUAAAAUUUAUGAUGAUCUGCACUCGUACGAGACACAGAAGGUGAAUCUUCAAUGCUGUACGGCCUCGAAUCGAGCAAAGCAAGAGACGAGACUUGGGGACCUAGAGUUUCUUCGCAGUUAGGGUUUUGGAUUUGACUCGAAUCAUGCUGUCGAAUCACUUACAGAACGGAAUCGAGACUGCGAGGUUAGUGUGGUCUCGGUUGCCCAACUCCGAUGAUGAGGCGCUGGACGAGGUAGGUCUCUCCAAGAAGAGUGAUGGAAGCCGUUCUGAGAGCCUUGAUUAUGAAGUCAUCGAGAAUAAUGCUUAUCGGGAAGAGCAGGUUCGAUUUUCGUGGUUUCUGAGCUCAAUUCGUGGUGAUUUUGAUUCUACCAUUUUUUUUCUUUGGUUGUGGUUCUUAUUUGUGAUUUGUUAUUUGAGAUCUGUAGGCGCAGAGAAGAAAGUUGAUGGUUGGAUAUUAUGUGGGCGUGAAGUGGUUCUUUGCCCUCCUUAUUGGUAUCGGUAAGGAGUUGUGCUGCCUGUGCAUCUAUUUUUCUUUUAGAAUAACCUUUUUGCUUCUCAUGUAUGGCUGGAAUUGACUAUUUUGAUAUACAAUUAAUUGAUUAUAGCAAUCUUCCGUUUGGGUGCUGAAUCGAUGGAAAAAAAAAAAGAAGAAAAAAAGAAAAGAGUAUUUUGAUUACUGCCUCUUUUGCUGCUCUGUUCUGCACAAUAAUUCAAAGCAAGGUCAACUAAGCGAGAUAAUAUUACAAGGCUCAAUUGGGUGGAGAUUUUUAUUUUAUAUUUUGGAAAAUAAAAAAGGGUGAAGAAUUUAAGAUUCAAUUUAGUAGAUUUUUUUGUCUCCAAGUUUUCUUAGCAACUAAACAGAGAAUCAUUCAAUGUUGUGAGGAUAAUUAACUGUAAGGAUGAUGAACUAUUGGAUAAUGUAGUGAGUUAGGAGUGGUGAACUGACUGAAAAUAUGUAUGACCUGCAUUUUCAAGUCAGAAGGUAGUUAAAUGCAUGAAUAUUGACUACGUGACUACUGGACAGCAGAAAGUAGAUUGAGAAGUAGCCAACUGUCAUUUGGAUGAAAUUUUAGCUGAAGUCUGAUGUGAAUGAGGGAAUAAAAUAUUUGUUUUAACUAGCAUGGCCACAAAGUUACUUUUAUUGAGAAUGCUAUGGUCUGAGGAUUUUAGGCAACCUUGAGGGGCAGGAAAUACUAAAGUGAGUCGAUAUAUCUAGCAGUCAUUCUCCUAUAUAAUCCUUGACAGAUUGAACAGUAGACAAAACAUACCAUUUCAAUCAUGUUGAUUAUGGGGGAGAGGUCUUGUAUACUCCCGGUAUGCUUUGGGCUGUCCCUUGGGUGCCUUUUUCUCUUGAUAUAUAUUACUUUUGUCUUUUACUUAUCAAAAAAAAAAAAUUAUAUGGGAGAGGUGGAACUCUUCAACCUACUUCAACCAAGGAGAGAUUAAGCAUGGUCUUAAAGGAGAGAUCAACUUCUAAAAUUCUAUGGACACCCCUUGAUUUGUAAUAAUAAGUGAGAUCUUCUUCCCUGGUGAAAAGUAAGAAGUCGUCCUCUGUAAUUCCCUUCUGCUUCUAGUGUGGGGAGUUACUGUAGUAUUUUUCAGAGGAUAGUUAGGAUAUGUUGUCUGAUAAUGGGUUUUCUGUUCUAGAGUUUAAUCAUUCCUUCUAUAAACUUUUUUCAUUCCUUCAUGGCAUUUUGCAUUAAUAUAAUUUUUUUUGGAAAAUAACUAUUAUUUCCUAAAAUAGAACCUUGAAUUCGUAUUCAUUUUCUUAGUAGUAUGGAUGGAGGUGUUAAAUUCUUGUGUUUUUACUUGAUUUUCUUUGCUCAGUUGUUCAAUGUUUCUUAGAAUUUUAGAUUUUAGAUAGUUGUUUUCACAUAUUUAUGACUUUCAUUUAAUUGCUUCCAGGUACUGGAUUAGCUGCUGUUUUCAUCAAUAUUUCGGUCGAGAACUUUGCUGGGUGGAAGUUUCAAUUAACUUUUUCCAUAAUACAAAAAUCAUAUGUGGCUGGAUUCUUAGUAUACAUAUUAUUCAACUUGCUCUUGGUCUUUUCCUCUGUGUAUAUUGUCACGCAAUUCGCACCAGCAGCAGCAGGAUCUGGUAUUCCUGAAAUUAAGGGUUAUUUGAAUGGUAAGUCAUAGUUCUAUCAUCCUUUUCCAGUAUCUCUUGCUAAUGAACCCAUUUCUGAUGUGGGUGAGAGACUGCUGAUGGUAAUUUAAAUGUGCAGGAGUUGAUACUCAUGGUAUCCUUCUUUUCAGAACCUUGAUUGGAAAGGUCUGGUGGGAUUUUUUUCAUCUUGUUGCCCUUGUUCAGGACCACUCUAUAUUUUCAUUUAUUUGUUUCAAUAUAUAAUUCUCUCUGUGACAUACAGAUAUUCGGAAGCAUUGGUUCUGUGGGAGGUGGUCUAGCCUUGGGAAAAGAAGGUCCUCUUGUUCAUACUGGUGCCUGUAUUGCUUCUCUGUUUGGUCAAGUGAGUAAACAACAAUUGUCGUAGAACUUUGUGUUGGAGCUUAUAGAAUUAGAUGUUGGGGUGCAAUAAUGCCACUCGUAAGCCUGGGAUGAGUCACCCAAAUAAUGGUGUUUGAAUGCCAUAAAAGGCUUAGUCUACCCUCGCUGGAUACUAAUUAGUUUUCAGAUGAGAUAGUCAAAGCCUAACCUAAGAUUAGAUGGAGUAUUUUUAUCUAACAUUUGUAUUAGAAUUGCAUUGUUUUAUAAAGCAUAAAUUAUGGCUAUUGAUUUUCUGGAAUGAUGGAAACUUUGUGGUGCCAACCUUAGAUGCUUGAAUGUUGCUUAGAUAUGUUGCUGUACAAUUAGAUAUCCUCCUUAUUUAUUUACCUAUCAAAAAUAAAAAAUAGGAAGCUGUUUUUCUUUAAAUUCCAUGUCAUACUAUUUUCUUGACUGUCUAAUAUGAGAGGAAAAGCUACUUGCAAACUUCCGUAUUAAGAAGCAAAGUGUUUCUAUAAGCUAUUUGGUAUGCUUGUAUGGAUUCUAGUGGAAUCUCUCUCUCUCUCUCUCUCUCUCUCUCUCUCCAUAAGCAUUCUAGUGGAAUAUCUUAAUAGGAUAUUGAUGUAGGACAACCUAGGAUGGCUUUCUACAUUUAAAUUAGAUGGGCUAAGGCUUCAAGCUUUUAGGAUUUAUGAAGCAGAACAAGAAAUAAAAUUAUGGCAGUGGGAAAAUAAAUAAAAUAAAAGAUAAGAAAAAUAAAGAAGAAAGAUAGGAAACCUUUGAGUUCCACUACUAAGGCCUUCCAGGAAUCUUACCAAAAAAACAAAAGUUCUAAAGUCUCAUCAUUGAAAAUUGCAAGACAUGCCCAAAAAAAAAAAAAAAAUGGAAAAAACUUUUUAUCAAUCAUUAAUGGCGUUUUAGGUCAAUUAGCCUUAUUUAUAAGCUUUAAAUCUUUUUAAAGAAACCUAGCCUACAUAGUAGCUUAUUUGGACUCUUAUUUCUUUCCUAAAAUUCCUAAAUCAUCUAAAUGAAAUAGUUAAAAAAUAUAUAAACUUUUUUUUUUUAGAAUUAGAAAGUUAAAACUUUAUAAGAAUUUCUAAUAUAAAAGAUUUUUUGGAUUCUAAAAAGGACACAAACAGAAAUGGGGAAAAAAAAAGGAAUUUUAGAUUAGAAAAAUAAAAAUUUCUUUUAAGAAGAAAUUUUCAGUAUAAAACUUUCCAAAUUUUAAAUGAAAUUCAAAUACCAACAAUUGACUAAUUAUGACUCUAGAGAAUCUAAAAAACUCAAAAUUAGCUAAAUAUCCUUGAUAUGGUAGGUUUUUUUUUUUUUAAUUUUUAAUUUUUAAUUUUAUUCCUUUCCGGAGAUUCAUUUCUAUCUGACAUGAUGCACAUUAUAUAUCUAUCUUUUUUUUUUUUUCCUGUAUGAUGUAUAAGAUGUGACUCUUGAUAUAAUAGAAUUGUGGGAGUUCUGCUUUGCUCUUGCUGACCUUAAAUUGUUAGGCUGAGAAUCAAUAAACGAGUGUUUAAAAUUGUCACAAGAAGCCACAUAGUUUUCCUCUCAAAAAUGUUUUUUAUUUUUUUAUUUUUUAUAUUAAAAGUCCUGCUGCAUAUCUACUAUAUUUUUUGCACAUUCUUGGUCUUCACUCAUAUUCAACUUCCAAAGUACAAGUCAAAACUUAUUGUCAAGAAAAUUAUUUGUUUCUGAUCUGGUUUCUAGUGUUUACACUAUAAACUCAAUUUUAAUGUCACAUUAUGUGUAAACUCAGGGUGGAUCCACAAAAUAUCAUCUUAGUUCAAGGUGGCUACAAGUUUUUAAGAGUGAUCGGGAUCGACGCGAUCUUGUGAGUGACUUAUGCUUUUUAAGUUCUGUUAAUACUCUGAAGCUUCUCUAUUUGUGUAUAAUAUCAGGAUAAAGUAUGUUUUGGAUUUGUUUUCUUGUUUUUGCUCUCUUUAGGUGAACCCCUUUUUACUGCUUAGUGUCAUGGUAUCAUAAGGUGCUUGCUUACCCUGUCUCUUGACACAAGGCGAAAUGAAUAUUCUUGAUCAUUUCUAUAGGUUUUUUGUCUUUUACUAUGCUUUUGCAUUUAUUUUUGGUUUUAUUAGAAGAAAGUGUGCUUUGUAACAUAGUAGACCUGGAUUCCUUUCCCAGUGUGAUGUUCUAAUAUUGUAAUACCUUUUGGUUUUAUUGAUGUGGUAUUCUUUAGUUAUAAUGAUGUUGUAAUGCAAGAGCAUCAUAUCUAACUUUUGUAAGUAGGGGGAAAAAAGGAGGGACAAGGCUUUGGCCAUUUCUUUAAAUUUUCUCAGCUUCACAAAAUUUGAGCCUUAUUUGAAUGCAUGCACAAACAUUUAUCCAUGCAUAGAAAUCUAUCAGCUAUUGAGUUGGCUAUAUUGUACAGUACAUUUUGAUUUGUAUCAAGUGAGUUCCAGCUUUUCAGUAUCAUCUUUAUGUAAAAUGUUUUUCUACCAUUUAUAAACUUGCUUAUGAUUUAAAAUGCAAUCACCAAACAGGUAAACAAGUAUUGUAGACUUCAUGCAAUUGCAUGUGUAUCCUUGAUUAGCAAUUUUCUUAUUUUUCUGGUAUCAUUUUGUAAUUUCCAACAUUGUCCUUGCAUUUUUCUAAUAAUGAGGUAACUUACCUCUAAAGUGUGGACCUCUAAAUUGUGCUGAUUUUCUAUUUAUGUAAUGUUUUGGAAAGGUAACAUGUGGGUGUGCAGCUGGAGUGGCUGCUGCUUUCAGAGCUCCAGUUGGAGGUGUAUUGUUUGCAUUGGAAGAGGUGACAUCAUGGUAAGAAAAAAAAUAUUUCCUUUGUUUAUGAUUAUAUAAUAUAUAUAUAUAUCCAGUUUUGCUUAUUUUGUGAGGAUGUUCAGAAGGUGUUUGUUUGUGCAUGUGCACAUGCAUUUGCAUGGCAUAUAUGGAAGCAAGCAUAUGUCUAUGUUUGUGUGUAUAUGUUGCCAGUUAUUCAAUUUUCAUGAUUUGACAUGUCUAUACAUCUCAAUAAUGGAAGAACUUGAAUGUUAUUUUACCUUAUAUUUAUUCAUGCGGUGCUUUUGAAGGUGGAGGAGUCAACUCAUGUGGCGUGUCUUUUUUACUUCUGCUGUUGUGGCUGUUGUGGUGCGAACUGCAAUGGGAUGGUGUAAGAGUGGAAAGUGUGGACAUUUUGGCUCAGGUGGCUUCAUAAUAUGGGACAUAUCAGAGUUAGAGUCCAUAACCUUCUUCUGCUCUUCUAUACUUUUCUACUGUCUCCUGCCUCCAUUUUUGCCUUUACUUCUUUCCUGACCAGUUUCAUUUUCAGUGGUCAAGAGGACUACUCGUUUGAGGAAUUAUUGCCAAUGGCAAUUAUUGGUGUUAUUGGAGGUCUUCUUGGUGGGUUUCUUUUUUUUUUUGGGUUGAAGUCAUCCUAAUUCUAUUCAUAGGAUUUAUAUUAAUUGUUACUAAAUUAAUUUAAGCUUUUUUUCCCCUUUUUUUCCAGGAGCCUUGUUCAACCAGCUUACUAUUUAUAUUACUUACUGGCGCCGAAAUUAUUUGCACAAGAAAGGGAGCCGAGUGAAGGUCAGUUAAUGAGGAUUGUCUAGGAAACUGGAUUUGGCUUAUUGCUUUAUGCUUGUUUUUAUUAAUGAUGUGUUGUUACCUCAUGUUUCUGAUCUUUUGUACUUUAUCAUGACAGAUGAUUGAAGUCUGCCUUGUGUCCCUGAUAACUUCAGUUAUUUCCUUUGGAUUGCCACUUCUAAGAAAAUGCAGUCCAUGCCCUGAAGUAGAACUUAAUUCUGGCAUUGAAUGCCCCCGUCCUCCAGGGAUGUAUGGGAAUUAUGUAAAUGUAUGGUUCCCAAUCUUUACUGCCCUUUUGGAUUAUCUUGAGCUUUAUGUUGAUUUUAGUUUGUACUUUUUGUAUAUUUGCGUGUAUCAGAUAGCAUGCAAUUUUCAUAUAUGCAAAUUCUAUUUUUUAUAUAGAGAAGCUUGUGCUCUACUUAAUUCGUUUUGUUGAUUGGUAGAGAAUGCUAAAUAAUAGUUCCCUAUGGGCUUUAUGUAUGUUUACCAUUUAUAUUUUUUAGGGGAUUUUAGGUGUAGAACUGUCAAUAUCUUUCAAUCAUGCCUUCAUGUGAGUCUAGAGUGAUUAUCUUGAUUAAUAGAAUUACAAGAGCAGAAAUCAACCAUUCAAACUACUUUCAAAACCAGUGUUGUAUAAAGCCCUGUUGACUUCAAAGGUGGGGGUUAAGCUCAUCUUAUUUGAUGUGAUUUUUUCUUAUUCUAUUGGCCCUGAGAAAAGAGUGGGCUUUUGUUUUUUCUUUGCCAUUUAAGGCAUAGAAAUUUCUAAGAACCAACUUAAUACUGAGGUUGCUUGUGUUGGAUCUGAAGGGCGGAACUUAAUUUUAACUUCUUCUAAAUAUUAACUCAGAAACAAUUUCUAGUUUGGAUCUGAAUUUAAGGGUAGUUAUUUGGUGGAAAAGUGCAAACUCUCUACAUUUGGGGGCAUCUUCACUUUCCUAUUUGGUGGUAACUGAGGUGACUCUGUGCGUUGUUAGCACACAACUGCAACUAUUACUCUUUAUUUUAUGAUCAUAUGAUCUGUUAUAUAGAUUGAAAAUGAUCAAGAAAACAUUCUUUUCCUUGGAAGGACGAAAGAGCUGAAUGUAGUGGAGAAAUCUACUUAUGGAUUUGAUCAUUUAUAAUAAAUUCUUUUUGAUAGGCUGUUCAUUCAUAAUGGAAAUUAUUGAUUUGAUUCCUUCAUGGUGUAAUUUUUAUGGGCUCUUGUUGAAUGUUCUCUGCACUUUAUACUCAUGCAUCAUUUAUACCUUUGAUAUCUCCCUCUUAAAUGAUAAGAAAACCCCACCUUUUAUCAAAGCCCCUCCUCCCAACCCCCACCCCUCCAAUAUUUUCAACUUUUCUAUGUUCUUCUAGCUUUAUGAUAAUCUUACCUACUCCAUUCUAUCUGCAGUUCUAUUGUGAUAAGGACAACGAGUACAAUGAUCUUGCAACAAUUUUCUUCAAUACUCAGGUUUUUGUGAAUUCCUACAAAUCUUUAUCUCAUUCCCUCUAGCAUUUCUUCUAAUGUCUCCUUUAUUUUUCUAUUCUUCUAAUGAGUUUAGUGUUUGUGGUUAUAGGAUGAUGCCAUACGGAAUUUAUUUAGUGCAAAAACAAUUCAUGAGUACAGUGCACAAAGCCUAUUGACCUUUUUGGUACUGUAUUUCUUUACUUGCUUAAUGAACUAUUUAUUUGUAAGUUUCCAGUUUUUAUGCAUAUUUUGAUGGAUUUCUUUGUGUUUGAGAAAGAGUCCUGACUAUGAAAAUGGAACCAUGAGUUGAGUGACUAUGGAGCGGGCUAACUAUUUAUAUGAAAGAACCUGUCCAUUUUCUGCGCAACUCUUUCUCAAUUAUUUCCUUUGCAUUUUCUCCUCUUUAUAUAUGCCAUUGGUGAUGCUUGUGCAAAAGGGAUGACAGAACGACAGAUGACUUGCCCCAGUUAGGAUGGUCUGACCUGUUGUAGAUGUUGUUUUCCUCAUUUGGCUUUUCUCAGGUGUUGCCUAAAUCAGUUAAGGAUACCUAGGAUGGUUGGCAAGGAUGGUUUACAAGUAUGUGAAAGAGGAAUGUAUUUAUAGAAGGAAUGAAUCUGAAAAGUUGAUAGUAUGAAGGAGACGAAGUUGCAUUUGUUAGUAUAUUUUUAUUUUUCUAUUAAAAACCAAAAAACAGGAAAUUUAUCUCUGGGUUCUAGAAACAAGUAGUAAAAGAGAGAGGAAGGGGUUGUGUGUUUAUUUGUGUUGAAGUGCUUAUCCUUGGAGAAUAUAAGACAGUCUGGAGGAAAUUUGGGUUAAGCCGAAGGUAGUAUCAUGAUGAAAGGAAGGCCAAAUGUUGAGCUUUUGGAUUAAAAAAACAUGAUGAAUUUUCAUGUCUCUAAAUAUAUAGUAGAUGACAAGAAAGUAUUCAUAUAGCCUACCUUCGUAGUUGGUAUAAGGCAAUGGUUACUUGGGUUGGAUUGAGUAGAUUAGACAUUUGAUGAAAGCCAUGAAACUAUUGUGAGAGACACAUCUAGUCUCUAAAACUAUAGAUGGAGAGGAAUUAGAAAAUUUUGGUGUGAAAAAUCAUUAGAUAAUAGCUAUACUAUGGAUCUGAGAAGUCCUGCAGUGAAUUAGUUAUAAUUUUAUUUCUCCAAUUUUGAUAUGGUAGGUUUCAGAAUUAGAAUCAUUUUAUUUAUUUUUUGUAAAUUAUAAUGCCAAUCUUGAUGUUUUUUUUUCCCCUUAGAACUUGAACAUGUGCCAAGCUAGUUUUAGUUUCUGGCACAUUAUGAUCAUGGUUUUGUUACAAGAGAGCUGGAAGUCUUGCAAGAGGCCAAGUAGGAAGCAUGGCACCCUUCUCUUCUGGCAAUAAUUUGUAUGAACUGGGGACUCACUCAAAUUUCCAGAAAACAGCCCCCUUCCUGGAGUUAUCCACUAUAUGGGAAUAUGGAAUCGAUUACUUAGAUUGGAUCGAGUACAUUAGAUCAUUGAAGAAACUUUUGUGAGAAGUUCAUCUAGCCUCUAAAAUUAAAUUAUAAAAUUUUGGUUUGAAGAAUUAUUAGAUAAUAGCUAUAUUAUGUAUAGCCAUACAAUGAACUAGUUAUUUAUUUCUCCAAUUUUGAUAUAGUAAGUUUUAGAAUUCCAAUCCUUUUGUUUCUUUUUGUUGGAAUCCGUGCAACGAUUUAUGGUGAAAAAAAAAAAUUAGGGAAAACGAGAAAGAAAGAACACGCAGAUUUAACAUGGUUUGACAAAUUGUCUACGUCCACGGGAAUAGGGAAGAGGACUUU